GGCGGUCUGCGCCUCUCGGUUGGAAAAACAAUCCCCGGGGCCUUAAUCGAUCCUAAGGGAGCUGUCCCUGUUUAGACUCGUGGGUUUUUACACACGGCGCCCACCUACGCUGUAGGUUCCCGGGAUCGUAAACCUCCGCCGGUUGCCGCGGACCGCUC
rnacentral:other from 1 species